rnacentral:rRNA from 1 species
GUCUAUGGCCAGCUUCCCUGAACAAACUCGAUCCCAUCUGAUCUUGGAAGCUAAGCAGGGUCGGGCCUGGUUAGUACUUGGAUGAGAGACCACUUAGGAAGACCAGGUGCUGUAGGUG